ACAUAAUUUGUGAAAGUAUCUUUGUUACCUUACAAACCAUUUCUUAUGAAAAAAAAGCCUCAACAAAAACUAAAAUAUUGAUUGAAUUUGACAUUAUAUUCAUGUUCUACAAUCUUUUCCACACCUUUCUUCUUCUUUUAUUCCCCUUGAUCUGCAAAGAAGAGAAGGAAUUUUUCACAUCUCUUCUUUAGGGGUGAGAUUUGCAUGACUUCUUAUUGUUGAAGCCUUGAUCACUACUUUCUUUUCUAGGUGUCCACUACUCUAUUUCCUUAUUAUAUUCAUUAGAGUUUUUAUUUCAGUGUCCAUUGUAGUGUAUAGAUGUAAUGUAGUAUAGUGUGUAGAUGUAGUGCAUAGAUGGGUUCUUGAAAACCAUACUGAUAGAACACAAACCAGUAGGUGGACCAAUCAAGCCAGAGGGAUAUUUAUUUUGGGCCAGGAAGAGAUGGUAUCUGCUAUUGAAGAACCAUUCUGACUAAAUUUGGAAAGUCUUUUGGGACACUAGCUACUUUCAAAGAUGUUUUUCAGUUAACGUGGUAGUAAAGCAAAGAUUUGACAUAGUUCCAUGAUAUUUGAUAUAAUUCUAGAAAUGCUAGCAAUAAGAUAAAGAAAUUAAAGGCACACAGUCAUAUGCAAAAAGGAAACAUAACUAUUCUUAUUUGCUGUUGUCAUGAUAAUGUGUUUAGAAAAUAAAAAUCAGCUUAGAAACUAACUGAGAAAAUUAAAAAAGCCUUAGCAAAAUACUGUGUUAUAAAAUGAACUACAAAAAUCAAUAGCAUUCUAUUUGGCCAUAUUUUGGCCAGGAAAGAAUAAUUCAAAGGCAAAUCUCAUUCUAUAUAACUAGAAAAUGCAUAAAGUUUUUAGAAAUCAACCUAUCAAAGCACAUGGAGUAGUUUAUAAGAACCAUCACCACACUCCUAUUUGGUACUGGUUAAAAAAAAACCAGUAGGUUAAUAUAAAGAAUUUUGAAUUUGUUAAUCCAGUGUUCUAUAAAACCCAAAAUAUAAAUUACCUAUGAAAGAAUUCUUUAUUUGGCAAGAGUUCUUUGGAAAAAUUAGAAAGCCUUUAUUUGACCAAAACUACAGGGAAAACUGGAAAGCAGUUUGGUAGGAAUUAUAUUUAAUUCAAAGCCUUUAAAAAUUAUCAAAGUAAACUAAAAAUGGACUUGAGUAUUAAAAGAUCAAAGAGGAAAAUGAGAUUAGGUACUUUUUAUAGUUUUGGUAAGAGGGUGUCAUUUUUAACCAGACAAGGAAUAGAGAUAUUUGCAAAAGUAAAUAAGGUAAUUUUAUAUGACAUUAACAAGAAUUUUUAAAAUUUCUCCAAGAUAUUUAGACAAUAAAGAUAUUUAAAACAUUCUCCAAAGCAUAAAUGGUCAAAUAAGAACAAACAUUUCUCAAAAUAUUGUAGACUAUUGACAACUAUGUGCAAGAAUGCUCCAAUUUGCUACUAAUAAAAUAAAUAUAAAUCAUAAUAUAGUUUUGAGAUUUCACCUCACAUGCAGCAAAUUGGCACAGAUGGCAAAACUCAUUGCAUUUAUGCAGAAACAUUGACAGUGGUGCUUGGUACUAGUAAAGAACUAGAAACAAAGUAGAUGCUUAUCACUUGGAAAAUGGAUAAAACAUGAAUGCAAUGAAAUGUUACUGUAUAUUAUAAUAUGAUUUAUAUUAUUAAUGCAGAGAAGCAUGGGGGACUUAGUUGAAAUGAUGCAAAAUACAGUAAGUAGAACAAGGAAAAUGGGAUACAUAAUGACUAUAACAACGUAAAUGAAAGAAAAAUAACAAAAAUGAAUGCUCUGAAAUUAUAAUGAUCAAGCUUGGCCGCAAGAAGAUAUAAGGUACCCAUUCUUGUCUAAAGUCAAGGACUCUCACUGGGAAGCACUACAUAUCAUAUUGGUUUUUUAUUAAGUUUUGUUUGAACUGUUUUCCCUCCCUUUUUAAUUAUUUGAUGAGAAAGAUGACUCUCUGGGAAGGGAAAAGGGAAGGUAUGUAUUGGUAAAGAUAAUUGAUGUAGGAACAAAAUAUUUCAAAAAAAAACUAAAAAAUCUCUCAGAUUAUUUACAUUGUAGAAGGAUUGUAAUCUUGGUUAGCAUAGGGUGUGUUCAGUGAAAUCGUGGUCUUUGAAGUAGUUUGAUAAUAUUCUUAGUACAUAUUCCCAGGUAGAGAGAUUAUUGUGUUUAAAGAGUAAAACUAUUUUAUAAUUUAUAAUGAGAAAAAGUUUUAACGAUUAGGAAUGGUCUUUGGAAUAAAAAACAAUAAAGAUCUUUUAAAAAUAAAAGAACAUAGAAAAGAAGUGGGGCCUUGCUUCUUUGAACAAAUAGAAGAGUUUCAUCCAUGUUUCACUAUUUGAGUUGAUGCUUCAUUAAUUAAGGUUUAAAAAGAGUCAUCUUCUAGGUGAAUGUCUGCUUCCUCUCCUUGGUAUAUUUCAAUAGUGAUUGGAAUUUGGAAAAGGAUUGAGUAACAUUUAGAUUAUGUAUCCUUAUAUGUAUUCCAUAAGAGAAUUGUAAGCUUUAGUUUUUCUGUCAUUGAGGUUGUAGGUUCAACUUUUAACCAAUAGUAGACUAGACAUACAUGCCUUAAUUUUGAUUUUGUGUGAUUAUAUUAAAUUUGCCUUUGUAUGAUUAUGGUAAAUUUGCUAUUUUUUCCCCAGAGCUUCUCAAUGCUUCCUUGUUAGAGAAGAUGCUUCAUCUGUAAUUUGCCACAAUCCAGUAACCUUAAAGGGAUUUCCUGUGUGGAACAUCUCAGACUUUGGUUGUCAGCCUACCUUCUUGCCAGAAUCUCUGGGAAAUAUACUAGAUAAAAUAAUGAUCCCAGUAAUUUUAGUCUGUGUAGUGUUAUUUGUGCUCCUGUGGCUGCUUCUAAUGCUUUGGAAGGUGAAACACAACAGAGUACAAGGGCAGCCAGGUGAAGGAUUUGUCACUAUCUUAAGAGAAUGCAUUAAACCCUGGGAGAGCAGAGGACUCCGUAAUGGGGGAAGACAAGUCACCAUGAACGGAAUGACUUCCCAGAGUAUAACAGCUGGACAGAAUUCAAGUGUCAAGGAACUGGAAACUGAGUGGAUGCCUAUUAGUUGGAGAAUGGCUGAAUAACUUAUGGUAUAUUAAUGUUAUGGAAUAUUACUGUUCUUUAAGAGAUGACCAGCAGGAUGAUUUCAGAGAGGCUUACAUGAACUGAUGCUAAGUGAAGUGAGUAGAAUCAAAGGAACACAGUAUAGCAACAAGAUUAUGUGCUGAUCAACUGUGAUAAACUUGGCUCUUUUCAACAAUAAGUGAUUCAGGGCAAUUCCGAUAGACUUGUGAUGGAGAGAGCCAUCUGCAUCCUGAAAGAGAACUGUGGGAACUGAGUGUGAAUCAUAACAUAGUAUUUUCACCUUUGUUGUUGUUGUUCACUUGCUUGUUUUUCUCAUUUUUUUUCCUUUUUGAUCUGAUUUUUUCUUGUGCAAUAUGACAAAUGUGGAAAUAUGUUUAGGAGAAGGGGGAAUUGGGGAGGGAGGGAGACAAAUAUGAAAUACAAAGUUUUGCAAAGGUAAAUGUUGAAAAUUGUCUUUGCAUGUAGUUUGAAAAAUAAAAAGCUAUUAUUUAAAAAAAAAAGAUGUGGGUUCAAGCCUCCUUUUUAAUACAUACUGGCCAUAGAACCCUCAACAAGAUCAUUUAAUCUCUCCUUGUCCCAGGAACUCUCCAACACCAAAUUACAAGAUAGUUGAAGAUCUUUAUAAUAAAGAUUUCUUCUAAGGGAGAAAGGGAACUUAUACCAGUAAAAUCACAGAUCCAGACCAAAAAAAAAAAGAUUUCAGGGAUACAAUUUCAUCAAAUCAAGUAUUCAAGCCUUUUAGCAGUAAAAAGAGAAGAGAGACCUCAUGUAGAUUUUCUAUCAUUUCUAGUAUGUGAUCCAUGAUUCCCCUAUAAUACAACAGUUUCUAUUUUGUACAAUUCUGUGGACAGGAUUUUGCAUAGAACAAUCAACAUGUUCAUCAUUAACAAGUCUGCUCUCUUCAAUAAAACAUUGCCUUUAUUUUGUAAAGGAUGCUUCAAUGGAUAGAGUAUUGGGCCUGAAGUCAGAAAGACUCAUCUCCCUGGAUUAAAAUUUGGCCUUCGUCACUUACUAGCUGUGUGAUGCUGAGCAAGUCACUUAACCCAAUUUACCCUAGUUUCCUCAUCUAUAAACAUAAUCUGGAGAAGAAAAUGACAAACCAUUCCAGUAUCUUUGCCAAGAAAACCCCAAAUGGGUUCAUGAAGAGUCAGACACGACUGAAAAAAUGACUCAACAAUGAAUUUUCUUUGUACCAACUCAACCUCUAUAAAUCUUAAUUUCCUCAUAUGUAAAAAAGAAGUUGUAUUAGACAGUCACCAAGGAAGGUCCCUUUCAGAUCUAAAUCAAUAAGCCGUGUUAAACAGUACCUCAGUUUAUAAUUUUUGUCUUAAAGGAACACAAUUUUCUUAACGAUAUCCUAUGAUUCAUAGUUUCCCAAUCACUCCAAUAUUCUGAGAUUUUUUUACUAUAUGGAGAAAAUGAAUAUGUUAGAACUCAGACUACAC